UGUCUAGUGAGAGAUUAAUGAUUUUACCAUGUUUUUUUAAUUAUAUCAAUAUAUCAUGCACAGUUGUCAUCGAGCUAGAACUUCGUCAACAAAGUUACUGGAUAUUACUUUCCAUAAGUGAGUGUAGUAUUAUUAUAUUUUAUUUUUAGAUAAUGAAAAAUAAUAACUGUGAACUAUGUCCCUUCUGAUCAGACAUUCAGGGAAAAAUGGUUAAAUUUUGUCUACAAUAGGGGGAGUAGAAAUAAAUGGUUGGAAACCACUACUCUAAAUGUUAUGUGACACUUGACUAAUUUUAAAUUCUGAUUGGAGCAAAGAUUUGCUUGGAUUUCUAUGUGUAGCAUCAUUUCUGAAAGGAAAUCAAUGUGGGGAGAUUUUUUUGCUAAGUCUUUAUUUAUGGGCCAUUUUUUUCCUUGUCUUUUUUUACCCGUUCCCAAUGCAUCCUUAUAUUCUUUGUCGGGUGUUUUUUGUAAUGCAUUUGAAACAUUUAAUAUUAAAAUGAUCAAAAGAAAACAAAUCGACUUAAAAAUAAUAAUACAGUAUAUUAUAUAACAUAAAUAAUUAUGUCUAUAGUCAUAACUGGUGAGACAUUAAACAGUUAUCAAUCAAAGGCUUAAGAUAAUUAACAAAAGUUAAUAGUUUACAUAAGUAUAAAAAGUCAAUAUAAUCACAUAUUUUACUUAAUUCUACACAAUUUUUAACUAUAUCCUUCUCAAUAAUAUAAUUAAUUAAAAAACAAUUAUUUUAAAAAUCCUUUAGAUUUUUUUUUUAUAGUUAAAAGUUUAAUUUCCACAUAUUGACAGUUAAAAUAGUUAUUAUAUAUUUAAGCAAAAUGUAUUAAACAGUAAAAAAAAAACCUGUGUACUAUAUAAUGUAUUUUAUAGACUUUAGGCACCAAUAUCCAUGUAUAAAAAUAACAUAUUAAACAUACACAUAUUAAAAAUAAAAAUAGUAUAGGACCUACAUUUAGUUAAAUUCACCUCUUAUGUUUGAAAUUUUGUAUUAUAUGAAUCUUUGUUUUGUUUUUUUUUCCUCAACAUUAAAAUUGUUAGCCACAUUAUUAUUUCUUAUAGAUUUUAACCAGUGAUUUUUUAACUUUUCUUUACUGUUAUUAGUAGUUCUAAUUUUUACUAAAUAAAAUUUCUAUUAUCAUGUAUAUAAUAUAAUCGAAAUAUACUACAAUUUUAACUCAACGUCAAAUGUUGAGAUAAAUUUGACUUUAAAAAGACUUCCUAGGAUAAUAGGGACAGGUGCAGCCACUGUUAUAGAUAAUUUGAUGUAUAUCUGUAAGCAACAAUAAACUAUUUCUUAUAAAAAACGAUUCUGAGCAGAGUGAUGCUUUGUCAACAAUAUAUAUAUAUAUAUGAGUCAUAUUAUAGUAAAAUAAUUAUAUAGGCUAUACAUAUUUUCUUUAAUAAUAUUUGUUUAAUGUUGUACUGAUUUUUCAAAUUUUAUGAGAAAACUCUUGAAAAAUGGAAAAAUACACAAAAUAUAUUACUAAAAUAUUACUUUUUUUUCCUGUGCACAGCUUUUCUACCAGCAAUUUUGCUCCAACUUUUAAUGAUAGCAAAAUUUCUAAAAGGUAAUUUCACUAAAGAGGUACUUUAGAGAGGCAAUUUUUUUCGAUUUUCUCAUUAGUUUUCCCAGCAAAACACUAAGAAAAACAUAGGAAAAUUGGGAAAAUCAGCACAACAUUAAACAAUAUUAUUAAAGAAAAUAUGUAUAGCCUAUAUAAUUAUUUUACUAUAAUAUGACAUAUAUAUAUAUAUAUUGACAAAGCAUGAAUUUCAUUUUAAUAGUCUUUAUACUUGGAUGGUUAUGACCCACUAAUUUAGAGAACUGGUGGUUCUAACCUUCCGUUUGAUUAUUUGUACAUUCACCAUUAUUUAACGUAGUUUCAUAUGCAGUCCAAGUAGAAGGAGGGAAUAUUUCAAAGGAUCUGGAUAUACAAUUCUAUCUGAACAAGCAUCCAUUAUAAUGGAUAGCAUUUUUUCAUAUGUGUUUUGAUUUUUUUUUUUUAUACAUAAUAACAUAAACAGCAGUAAUAAAAACGGAUUUAACUUGUAUUCUAAAAACAGAGCUGCUUAAAUUCUCUAGGAGCUAAAACAAAAUUACCAUCCAAAUACAAUUCAUUGGAUUCUUUCAAAAGUUUUAAUUCAUCGUCAGUAGCGAAUAUCGCAAUUGGAUUUGUUGAAUCUACCCUUAUGUUGUGUAGUAAAAGUCAUAAACAGUUUGGUACAACAGUAGUUGUCCACUGACAUACCAAAAUUUAAUUUAAUUUAUUAAUAGAAUUUAUUUAUAUUUAUAUAUAUAUAUUAAUACAUUAAUACUGUCGAUAUUUACAUAAUUAAUUAUGGAUUUGUUUCAAUUAAUUUUAAACAUAUUAUAUUUUUUCACAAAAAACUAAAUUAAAAUUGGAUCAAAUUACUAACCUUCAAUAGCAAUUUUUCUAGUUGGAAUAUUUUUAGAAUGUUGGUUUCGGAGAGUCCUUUUUAUAACUGGAAUUCGAGCUUUACAUAAGGUCGAAAGUAAAUUAAUUCCUUCUGCAUAGAUUUCAACUGGAAGUACUUGGGUUGAUUUAGCGUUUUCGUUCAUUUUUAAUAAAAAUGUUGAAACUUCAAUAUCGUCUCUAUUGGUUCAUGGUUGUGUAAGAUCCCUACAUUAGGAUCUAAAUUAUUCAACUUGGAGUACAUUGUUCCGGGCCAUUUUGAUAACAAAAAUGUAUAGCAUCUUCCCAACAUAUGUCCUUUCCAGAACAUUUUUAUUUAUUUUUGAAAGAUAAAAUAAUUUCCAUAAACAAGAAUCAAAAAUUUUACUUUAAAUUUAAAUGAACAAGACACGAGAAAACUGAAACAACUAACAAUACACUGCAUGAAUUACACUAUUUCAAACUUAAAUUUAGAUAAAUUUUAAUAUUUCAUCAAAAAUAAUAAAAAGUAAAAUUUAGAUAUACACUAGUUUAGGUAUCUAAUACAUAAUUAUAAGCGCCUAAGUUGGAAAAUACCAGAGGUAUAUAUUAUAUUACUACUUGUGUUUAUAAAAGGUAAUGCUAUAAUAUUAAAAACCUAAAUAGGUAGGUACAUAAUAUUAAUAAUUUUAGUUAUCUAUAUUAUUAAAUAGAUUUUAAAUUAUUAUUGUAUAGAUACCUAUUAACACUUAUUUAAUUUCAUUGAAAUAAUUAUUGAAAACAAAUGUGUUUUCUAUAAUACUUUUGUCUUUUUUUUCUAUGCCUUUUUUCUUUGUCUUUUUUCCCUAGACUAGGAUGCAUUAGCUUUGUGAAGACUAAGGCAGUCUAAUAAGCACAUACAAAAUAAAAAAUAUUCAGAACAAGACAUUGCAUUUGUGUUUUAAAAAUAAUUUUUUUUUUUUUCAUUAUUAUAUAGAGACGGAAUUGUUUAAAUAGCUGUUUAUGAUUAUUUAUC